CGUAGGAUGCAAGCGUUGUCCGGAUUUAUUGGGCGUAAAGAGUUCGUAGGUGGUUCGUUAAGUCUGGUGUAAAAGACUGGGGCUCAACCCUGGGAUCGCACUGGAUACUGGCGGACUGGAGUGUGGUAGAGGCAAGUGGAAUUCCCAGUGUAGCGGUGAAAUGCGUAGAUAUUGGGAAGAACACCGGUGGCGCAAGCGACUUGCUGGGCCAUAACUGACACUGAGGAACGAAAGCUAGGGGAGCGAAUGGGAUUAGAUACCCCAGUAGUCCUAGCUGUAAACGAUGGAUACUAGACGUAUCGGGUAUCGACCCCUGAUGUGUCGCAGCAAACGCGAUAAGUAUCCCGCCUGAGUAGUACGGCCGCAAGGUUG
rnacentral:rRNA from 1 species